GAAGGAAGAUUUUAAAAUGCAUCAAUCUGUACGGAUCUAAAUGUGCUGGGUUUAUUCACUGACAGGCAGAGCACCCCUGGAUUCAAGAGAAGCCAGUGUGAACUGCAGAGAUCAAGCUGCUUGAAAUCAGAUUACCGACAUUCACUGAGGUGCAUAAUGAUGGCAGCUGCUGGAGGUAUUGCAGGAGGGACUUGCUGUAGCACAAAAGUGCUAUUGGCCUCUCUCACUUAGGAGCUCUACAUAUAAGACACUGCCUUGCUGAGAGCACAGGAUUUCCACUGCAGUGGGUGUUUGAUCUCCACAAGGGCAGAGAACCAAAGAGCACUGCCAGAGGUAACAAGGUCCUCAAAGGCAGCUGUGACUCACAGGUGCACCCUCUUCUCUGGUGCUCUGCAAAGCAUUCUCAGAAUUGGAAUUGCCAGUUAGAAUAGCAAAACUCAAGGGACAGAAGGGGUUGUGAUGCUCACACCCGGCAGCAGGAGGCUAGGAGCUCACUGGGGAGAGGCAGGAAAAUAAGUCCCUGCUCUGUAGCUUUGCUUUAUGGUGGUGCAGCUGUAUGCCCUGCUGGGCACAAGAGGAAGAGGAACACACAGGAAAGCAGGACUGCCAAAGCUGAUCCAGCUGCCCUCCCCCCAGCCUGGCACGGCCUCCAGCAGCGCUGGCUUCUUGCAACCCAGCAGGAGCUGAUAACUGGGAAGUUGUACAAAAACUCAGGUUCAAACUCCACCCAUAGCACCAACCGUCCCCAGAGCACCAUCAGGACUCCUGGCACACAUAUAAAGGCAGACAGGCCAGGACACUCCUGGCAGCGUGCUGCGCAUCCCUGGGUGUUGGACUUCUUGUGACAGAGGCAUCAGGAACCACCAUGUCAGGUAGAGGCUUCCAGGGGCUGAAAGAGCAGGCAGAAGGAGCUGCAAAAGAUGCUGCGAGUGCGUUGGGACAGGCCACUCAGGAUGCAAUCAGCCAGAUUACAGAUGCCGGCCAGAAAGCUGUGGAUAAGGCUUGUAAGACAGCGCAGGAUGGUGUAGAAAAAGCAGCCGGGCAAGCUGCAGAAGCAAUGUCUGGCUUUGGGAAAAAAUGUGGAUUUAAGAAAUGAUGUUGAUGUAAGCAAACAGUACUGCAUGCAAAACCCAUCUUUGCAAUUCCCGACUCCUCUGUGUAGAAAGCGAAAGCUAUCUGAGAUCUGGAUAACUACUCUCUCCCCAC
rnacentral:lncRNA from 1 species